rnacentral:rRNA from 1 species
UACGUAGGGUGCGAGCGUUGUCCGGAAUUAUUGGGCGUAAAGAGCUUGUAGGUGGCUCGUUGCGUCGGGAGUGAAAACCCGGAGCUCAACUCCGGGCCUGCAGUCGAUACGGGCAGACUGGAGUUCGGCAGGGGAGACUGGAAUUCCUGGUGUAGCGGUGAAAUGCGCAGAUAUCAGGAGGAACACCGGUGGCGAAGGCGGGUCUCUGGGCCGAUACUGACGCUGAGGAGCGAAAGCGUGGGGAGCGAACAGG